rnacentral:lncRNA from 1 species
AGGAACAUUUGAAUACAGAGAAUUACAUUGACAUUGAAAAUUUUCUAUGUAAAUAGUGUGGCUUAACAAUUACGGGCAAAUCGAACGGUGUGGAGGACAUUACGUCUACACCCUAAACGAGAUGGGCGACCAUGGACGUGUAACAUUUAUAGAGUAAACUAUUACUACAACUCAUGUUAAACAAUGGCAUUUACAUUCUCUAUAUCUUUUCUCAGACAUGCCACAUGCAUCCUGGUUUUUCCCCGUCCACGGCCACGUGAGAGAAAUAAUGAACUCUGUUGUACGCAUGAUAUGUACUGAAAGUCCAAAACCAUGUUAUAAAAAUUAGGGUAAAGAAAAUAUGGUGUUGGCAAUCACAUACUCAAAAACUGAGGAAGGAAUGGAAGAGGAGAGACAAGUAAGUUGAGUGAAGGUGGAAACUUUUAGUAGGAGUAGCUCAACUCUCGUAGGCUUGAGAGACAUCAAGAACACGGGGAUCACUAGCCUAACAGAUUGAUGGUUCAAAGUAAUAAUGCUAAAUUAGGCUGAGUGACCACCCACUCCGGUAUUCAUACACAUAAGCAUCAAACCAGCGUCCGAACGCUCACCCCACGGGUAGCUGUCCUCCAUGACUCUUGAGACUGCCUUUUUACUGUGG